GUGUUGUAGCAUAGGCUAAAACAACGCGCCUACAGUUUCAAGUAAUGAAUUGCCGAGAGCCUCAGAGAAGCGUGAGUCCGCUCGUCCUCUAUGCAGUCUUUUUAGGACAAUUAUUUUUUUCGCUGAAUGCUUCGGACUUUACCCACAAACCGAGGGUGACAUUGACAGACAAAGAUGUGAGCUUUCUAAGAAUCCAUCUGUCUGGGAAUAACAACCAUAUAGAGCUCCUACAGGGCCCUCAAGACAACAUAGUAUACGCUGCAGGCCCUAGAAACAUGUUCCAGACAAACUUCCACAGUUUGACCUCUAUAAAGAGUCCUGUGUUUGGAGAGGGAUGUAGAAGUAAUGAUCCCGCAACACCA